rnacentral:lncRNA from 1 species
CCCUGUGGCAAGAGGAGCGAUCCCAACGCACGGUGGAGCCAGAUGAUGGCGUAUGAAGCGCCCAAGUACAAAGCCUUUCAUUCGUCGUCGCUUCUCAUUUUGGAAAACUUUAAGCUAAAUGAACCCUGGACGAAAUGGAAGAGAAUUGCAGGGCUGCCUCCUAAUGCCGGGAUGCUAAACUGCGGCGGUGGAUGGUUGAACAGGCAGAGGCGGCAGGCUAUUGAGCCUUCGAGCUUCACAGAAGGAAGAGCUGAGGUGGAGGAGUGGGGCUGGUGGAAGAGGAGCAGAGGGUGCCCGAGCAGCACCGUACAGCCAACCGAGGGCAAGCAAAGGCAUGGCAGGUGGGUCCCUGUUGGGUGAGGGGACACUAGUUCGCAGACUGACCAGGAAAAGGCGAUCUGGCAAGGACAAGGGCACAGCUUUGUAAUGGUACAGGGGGCCCCUGGAAAGACCAUAAAAUGAGAACAAUCAAUUAACAAGCUGCUGUGGUUUCAGGAAGGCCAUUAUAGACAUACUGGUGUAAUGAGCACAUCUGAUGCACAGGAGCUAUUUAACCUUCAGCCUUGUGCCUUAUAAAGCACCUCUGGGGCACUGAGUAAGGCUGUUAAUUAUUAGGGUCAACCUUAGCAGACGGAAGUGUCCUUAAGUAUGGGUUGCUGUGAUACACUCAGGUAAUUUCUCCAUUAUGUCAAUAACUAAUUUCCUAAAUAGUUCAAGAAUCGACAGAUUGGCAUCCAUUAACCGAGCCUUAACUCAUGGCUAUGGGAGCAGUUACAGGCCAUUCAUAGGUCCUGUAUACAUGUACUCAGCUUGAAUAUACUGUUACAGCUUGGUGUUAGCCAUUAGUAAAACAAAUAACCAACGCGUGUAAAAAGACUAAAUAGACAGUGACAGAUAUUGGCUUGAGCAGAUGUCUUGAUGCUUGAGCACUGUCUUCAAGCACUCUGACAGCAGAGAAUGAAGUCAGUCUGACUUUUAAAGAACUGUGUACUGAGAAACUGUAAAUGAACAGAAUCGCAGUCAGUCAAAAAUACCUAUUAUAUUUACGAUCAAAGGUGCAUAAUUUUUUUUCUGAAGAAAAAAAAAUAUUCUGUAUGGCAAGGAUUUCAUGGAUUUGAUACUCUGUGACUUGUUACAUUGUUCACCUCUAUGCUGUGAGACGAAUCUCAUUGCUCUUAUUGAUACAGGCCAUAUGAUUUUUUUGUACUUAAAUGCAAACAUUUUUUUUCCAAGUGCAGCCUGUGAAGAACCAGUACAUUUGGAAACUGCAAUAAGUAGGUAGGAAAUCCCGUUGAUCCGUGAAGGGGUUUUAUUGUUUUGUCUCAAAGCCAAGCACGACUGCAAAAGCAACUGUCCUAAG